rnacentral:snRNA from 2 species
AUAAAUUUUUCUUCAACCCUGUUCUUAUCGGCUUAAUAUCUGAUAUGGACCUAAUUGGUCCAUGAUAUUAAACUUAUUUUUUGAACGGUGUUCCUCCGAAGCUUGCUUCGAGGUCGCCAGGGUUGGCCCGGCAUUGCACUACCUCCGAAAGCGGCCCGUCCCCC